rnacentral:misc_RNA from 1 species
GAAAAAGAUUUUUUUUUUUUUUUGGAACCAUCUAAAACUGAGCAGAACACUAAUACGUUGAUUAUAUAUUGUCCUAAUUUCCUAAACAGUGUCAAUUAUUUGUGUGAAGGAAAUGGACUGAAUUAAUUGUCAAUCUGAACAAUUUGGUGAACCAUUUUUCAGUAAUAGAUGGUUAGUCCAUUCCUCUAGUUUCUGAAUGUUGUCUGAUAUGAAAAUUAGAAAGGUGCUGAAUUUAAUCACCUCUCCUUAAUUAAAUAUGUAUAAUUUCUAUGGCUUAUGCAUUAGGUUUACUCAGCUUUGGAAGGAAUUUCUUUACUGCCUGGUCCAGUCUUCUUAUGAUUUGCACUUCUGCUAUUUGUGUUGCUGUAUAAGUUUUAUUGUUACAAAGUUAUGACUGUAUCUGGAUUACCAGUCCAGUCCCAUGGCUCUAGAUUGACUUGGCUAAUACUGGGUAACGGUUUUUGUACAUAAUAAUAUCUGCUGGAUUUGUUGAUUGAUAAAGGAUCAUCAAUGAUGAUUUUUUUCAUGCUUCUAAACUAUUGUUACAGAAUUUUCAUAACAUUCCAUGAUAAGGCAUUGUACAACGAUACAAUUGUAGAUUACUUUGUUCUAAUUUUAUCACUAUCUUUGUGUUAACUUUUUUAGGUCUGGAGAUUCCACAGCACGUAUU